GAUGAACGCUGGCGGCGUGCCUAAUACAUGCAAGUCGAGCGAACGGACGAGAAUCUUGCUUCUCUGCUGUUAGCGGCGGACGGGUGAGUAACACGUGGAUACCCUACCUAUAAGACUGGGAUAACUUCGGGAACCCGGAGCUAAUACAGGAUAAUAUUUUGAACCGCAUGGUUCAAAAGUGAAAGCCGGUCUUGCUGUCACUUAUAGAUGGAUCCGCGCUGCAUUAGCUAGUUGGUAAGGUAACGGCUUACCAAGGCAACGAUGCAUAGCCGACCUGAGAGGGUGAUCGGCCACACUGGAACUGAGACACGGUCCAGACUCCUACGGGAGGCAGCAGUAGGGAAUCUUCCGCAAUGGGCGAAAGCCUGACGGAGCAACGCCGCGUGAGUGAUGAAGGUCUUCGGAUCGUAAAACUCUGUUAUUAGGGAAGAACAUAUGUGUAAGUAACUGUGCACAUCUUGACGGUACCUAAUCAGAAAGCCACGGCUAACUACGUG
rnacentral:rRNA from 1 species